rnacentral:rRNA from 1 species
UACAGAGGGGGCGAGCGUUGUUCGGAAUUACUGGGCGUAAAGGGCGCGUAGGCGGCCCUCUAAGUCAGACGUGAAAUCCCUCAGCUUAACUGGGGAACUGCGUCUGAUACUGGAUGGCUUGAGUUUGGGAGAGGGAUGCGGAAUUCCAGGUGUAGCGGUGAAAUGCGUAGAUAUCUGGAGGAACACCGGUGGCGAAGGCGGCAUCCUGGACCAACACUGACACUGAGGAGCGAAAGCCAGGGGAGCAAACAGG